UCUCAACCGUUGGUUUCUGCCCUAGUUUCUACCAAGUCCAACUUUCCAGAAUUCACUUUGUCUCAGCCGCUCUAUCUCCCACAAUCUCUCUCUCUCCCCGAACUUUCUUCUUCUUCUGCUUCUUUUUCUUCUUUAAGUUCUUAAUCCCAGCUGGGUUUUGCUAAUUUUCUCUGCAUUUUCGCUCUGAGGACUGGACAUGUGAAAGCGUCAUCUUCUCAACACCGAGGAGUGGCAUGCUGUGGCGUUUUUCAGGAUGUCCAAUAUGUGCAAACAGAGCACGGUACAGUUUGCUUAUUCCAUUGGUUCCUGCACAAUGAGGUAGUCCGAGACGGAGCAGGUGCCACCAGAGUCGGAAAGCAUGGAGGUGUUGCUUGUGAGGAUGUUAGCCAUGGUGAGAAACGUGGCGGUGCCGGCGCGGGGCUCGGUUGAGAAGCUGUGGUGCGACGACGAAGGCAGCAUGGCGGUGGUUCUGGAGUCCUUUCCGUAGCGAUUUCGCAAAAAAAAAAAAAAAAAAAAAAAAAAAAACCAAGGACCGGCCCGUUUCAAACGGGCCAGGUUCGGUCCGAUUCCUGUAAUGAAAUAUGAUGUACCCGACUCGGCCCGGCCCGUUUCUUUUAACCUCCGGUUCCUUGAAAAUUAGGUCCGGCUCGGCCCGGCCCGUGCCCAGCCCUAGCGCAAAGCAUAAAAGUUUAUAAGGCCUAAAAGUCUGUUGGUGCAAGGUCUUAGCCAUGGUGGCGUCAUAUGGAUUGAAGAAGAAAGUUGGGAU
rnacentral:sRNA from 1 species